rfam:Glossina fuscipes fuscipes unplaced genomic scaffold Scaffold153, whole genome shotgun sequence.
GCAUCGGUGGUUCAGUGGUACAAUGCUCGCCUGAAACGAGAGCGGCCCGGCUUCGAUUCUCGGCCGAUGCA